ACCAUCAUCGUCCAGAGGUUAGGAUGCCAGGUUUUCAACAAUCAAAGAGAUUUGAAUCCCCUGGAGACCGGGGUUCGAUCCCCCGUGAUGGUA